rnacentral:lncRNA from 1 species
GAUAUGGAGAAAUUUUCUUUCCAAUUGUCUUCUCUGACCAGGCAAAGCUCAGUAUUUGGAAACUGGACAAUCUAUCCUGCUGGUAUAUCUGCUGUUUUAAAGGAAGAUUUUUCUUUAGGCCACUCUAUAGGCAAUGAAGCAACUCCUCUUUAAUUCUAUUUCUUGGUUGCAGGAGAUGGAGCAUGCCAAUUUGCAGUGACAAAGGUGUAGCAUGGAGUGUUUGCAGAAAUGUAAGCACUUCCAUGUGAAUGGAGAACGCAACUGGGGAUUAUAGGAGGUGUGCUGGAGAGGCAGGCAGAGGCCAGAUUAGGUAGGCUAUUGCACCCCUCACUUUAGCCAAAUGAUUUCUCCAAAUCCUCAUUUUUUUUUGUUGUACAAAUAGAGUCGCUCAAUUAUCUCCCAAGGCUCUAUAAAAUCGAAAUAACUUUUUCCUAAGCUAAUUAUUAUGGAAAGUUCCAAAAAGUACAUGUGUACAUUUUCUAAUAAAAAUAUACAGUGAUUAUCAUA